rnacentral:rRNA from 1 species
AGUUACUGUUAACUGAAUACAUAGGUUAACAGAGCAAACCGGGGGAACUGAAACAUCUAAGUACCCCGAGGAGAAGAAAUCAACCGAGAUUCCGGUAGUAGCGGCGAGCGAACCUGGAUUAGCCCUUAAGCACUCGGUGAAGUAGGUGAACAAGCUGGAAAGCUUGGCGAUACAGGGUGAUAGCCCCGUAACCGACGCUUCAUCGAGCGUGAAAUCGAGUAGGGCGGGACACGUGAUAUCCUGUCUGAAUAUGGGGGGACCAUCCUCCAAGGCUAAAUACUCCUGACUGACCGAUAGUGAACCAGUACCGUGAGGGAAAGGCGAAAAGAACCCCUGUGAGGGGAGUGAAAUAGAACCUGAAACCGUGUACGUACAAGCAGUAGGAGCACCUUCGUGGUGUGACUGCGUACCUUUUGUAUAAUGGGUCAGCGACUUAUAUUCAGUGGCAAGGUUAACCGUAUAGGGGAGCCGUAGCGAAAGCGAGUCUUAACUGGGCGCUCAGUCUCUGGAUAUAGACCCGAAACCGGGUGAUCUAGCCAUGGGCAGGUUGAAGGUUGAGUAACAUCAACUGGAGGACCGAACCGACUAAUGUUGAAAAAUUAGCGGAUGACUUGUGGCUAGGGGUGAAAGGCCAAUCAAACUCGGAGAUAGCUGGUUCUCCCCGAAAGCUAUUUAGGUAGCGCCUCGGACGAAUACUACUGGGGGUAGAGCACUGUUAAGGCUAGGGGGUCAUCCCGACUUACCAACCCUUUGCAAACUCCGAAUACCAGUAAGUACUAUCCGGGAGACACACGGCGGGUGCUAACGUCCGUCGUGGAGAGGGAAACAACCCAGACCGCCAGCUAAGGUCCCAAAGUAUUGCUAAGUGGGAAACGAUGUGGGAAGGCUCAGACAGCUAGGAUGUUGGCUUAGAAGCAGCCAUCAUUUAAAGAAAGCGUAAUAGCUCACUAGUCGAGUCGGCCUGCGCGGAAGAUGUAACGGGGCUAAGCAAUACACCGAAGCUGCGGCAAUGUCUUUUAGACAUUGGGUAGGGGAGCGUUCUGUAAGCCGUUGAAGGUGAAUCGUAAGGUUUGCUGGAGGUAUCAGAAGUGCGAAUGCUGACAUGAGUAACGACAAAGGGGGUGAAAAACCUCCUCGCCGGAAGACCAAGGGUUCCUGUCCAACGUUAAUCGGGGCAGGGUGAGUCGACCCCUAAGGUGAGGCCGAAAGGCGUAAUCGAUGGGAAACGGGUUAAUAUUCCCGUACUUCUGACUAUUGCGAUGGGGGGACGGAGAAGGCUAGGUGGGCCAGGCGACGGUUGUCCUGGUUCAAGUGCGUAGGCUUGAGAGUUAGGUAAAUCCGGCUCUCUCUAAGGCUGAGACACGACGUCGAGCUGCUACGGCAGUGAAGUCAUUGAUGCCAUGCUUCCAGGAAAAGCCUCUAAGCUUCAGAUAGUCAGGAAUCGUACCCCAAACCGACACAGGUGGUCGGGUAGAGAAUACCAAGGCGCUUGAGAGAACUCGGGUGAAGGAACUAGGCAAAAUGGUACCGUAACUUCGGGAGAAGGUACGCUCUUGAUGGUGAAGUCCCUCGCGGAUGGAGCUGACGAGAGUCGCAGAUACCAGGUGGCUGCAACUGUUUAUUAAAAACACAGCACUGUGCAAAAUCGCAAGAUGACGUAUACGGUGUGACGCCUGCCCGGUGCCGGAAGGUUAAUUGAUGGGGUUAGCGCAAGCGAAGCUCUUGAUCGAAGCCCCGGUAAACGGCGGCCGUAACUAUAACGGUCCUAAGGUAGCGAAAUUCCUUGUCGGGUAAGUUCCGACCUGCACGAAUGGCGUAAUGAUGGCCACGCUGUCUCCACCCGAGACUCAGUGAAAUUGAAAUCGCUGUGAAGAUGCAGUGUACCCGCGGCUAGACGGAAAGACCCCGUGAACCUUUACUACAGCUUGGCACUGAACAUUGAACCUACAUGUGUAGGAUAGGUGGGAGGCUAUGAAGACGUGACGCCAGUUGCGUUGGAGCCGUCCUUGAAAUACCACCCUUGUAUGUUUGAUGUUCUAACUUAGACCCAUUAUCUGGGUUGAGGACAGUGCCUGGUGGGUAGUUUGACUGGGGCGGUCUCCUCCCAAAGAGUAACGGAGGAGCACGAAGGUGGGCUAAUCACGGUUGGACAUCGUGAGGUUAGUGCAAUGGCAUAAGCCCGCUUAACUGCGAGAAUGACGGUUCGAGCAGGUGCGAAAGCAGGUCAUAGUGAUCCGGUGGUUCUGUAUGGAAGGGCCAUCGCUCAACGGAUAAAAGGUACUCCGGGGAUAACAGGCUGAUACCGCCCAAGAGUUCAUAUCGACGGCGGUGUUUGGCACCUCGAUGUCGGCUCAUCACAUCCUGGGGCUGAAGUCGGUCCCAAGGGUAUGGCUGUUCGCCAUUUAAAGUGGUACGCGAGCUGGGUUUAGAACGUCGUGAGACAGUUCGGUCCCUAUCUGCCGUGGGCGUUGGAAGAUUGAAGGGGGCUGCUCCUAGUACGAGAGGACCGGAGUGGACGAACCUCUGGUGUUCGGGUUGUGUCGCCAGACGCAUUGCCCGGUAGCUAAGUUCGGAAUUGAUAAGCGCUGAAAGCAUCUAAGCGCGAAGCGAGCCCUGAGAUGAGUCUUCCCUGACAGUUUAACUGUCCUAAAGGGUUGUUCGAGACUAGAACGUUGAUAGGCAGGGUGUGUAAGCGUUGUGAGGCGUUGAGCUAACCUGUACUAAUUGCCCGUGAGGCUUAACCA